AGCGCAUGCAUGUAGUGCAAUAGUGUAGUACGGUACGGUACAUGUAUUGAAGAUUAAUUAACGGCUCAUUCGUCAUGUUUUCAAGAUGCCUGCGCAAAAAGAUGAACAUAAGCAAUUGACAAAGCCAGACCGUAGUAUGUCUACACUUGGGACGAGCCAGCUUCGGAUUGCGUGCGUUUUCAGCGCUACGACCCACGCAACCAAAGCUGCCGAAGACGCUCUGAACAACGCCUGCCGACUGGUCAACAAUGUCACCCUCAUUAAGGUCAACUUUGAGAGGCUGGACUUUGGCGAGACCAAGGUUCUUGACCGGUUCUAUGCUGCUGACAUGGUGGUCGUGGAUGUCUCUGUCAUCAUGCAGCAACGGACGCUGUUCUACCACAUGGGUGUCCGCGAGAGCUUUGGGAAAGAAAAGAAUGUGGUACUCUACAAUGAUUCGGUAGAUCCUGAAGGAACAUCUUCUCUCAUGCAAUCCUGCCAUGGGUCAGGGUACAUGUUUAUCCCAUACAAACUGGACUCCAAGAAUGAAUGUUACGUGUGUGACAUGGCGUGUGUCUUCAAGGUGGGACAAAAUCCUGAUGAGGAUCCGACUCUCUGCCCCCUCCUCACCGAUCGUCUUCGGGAAGCCAUCGAGGAGGUCCACAUUAGCAAUAGGAGUAAUGCAAGGGAAGUCUUGUUGAAUGACAUUCGUAAAGCAAGGAUGAAACUCAAAGGAGACAUGCUAGCUAAGGAACUUGGUAAUCUGAAAGCUAGGAUGGAUGAGCAGCUGUUAUUGAGUGGAGAUAUCGUUCAUCAAUUUCUACUCUCCUACAGAGAAAUUCAGGAUUAUAAUUCCAUGGUGUCUCUAGUUGAAGCGAUUAAGCAGCUGAAGAAUGAUCAUGUGACUGAUAAGCCUGCCAUUGUACAUCUCUAUGCAUUUGCUCUUAACAGACGGAAAAAGUCAGGUGACAGAGAAAAGGCAGUUGCUGUCAUAGAAAAGGCCUUAAAGAGUGAAGAGAAUCAGGUGCCUGAUAUGUUCUGCCUCUGUGGUCGGAUCUACAAAGACAUCUAUACAGAAUCUAAUUACAUUGAUACAGAGAGCAGAGAUCAUGCUAUACACUGGUACAGAAAGGGUUUUGAGGUGCAGCCUAAUGAGUAUGCAGGCAUCAAUCUUGCAACGCUUCUUGUGCUAUCUGGAAAAGAGUUCACGAAAUGCCCAGAGCUUCAGAAAAUAGGUAUGACCCUGAACAACCUACUGGGUAAGAAGGGCAGUCUGGUAUCACUUGAAGACUAUUGGGAUGUAGCAACCUUCUUUGAGAUCAGCGUUCUGGCUGGUGACUUCUCCAAGGCUUCCCAAGCAGCAGAAUGCAUGUUCAAACUCAAACCUCCCAUCUGGUAUCUGAAGUCUACACUUGGUAAUAUCCAGAUGAUAUGUCGGGUAAGACCAACGUCUGAUGAAGAACCUACCAUUGAUCAACAACUCUUCAACUUCUGGCUAGAUUUCUUUGUUGAAGCUACCAAAGAGUCGACAACAGAACUCCGCUUUCCUGUCUUGGUCUUAGAACCCAGCAAGAUCUACAAGCCUAGUUACAUCACUAUCAGUGAAGGGGAUGAGACGCAGGAGAAUUCCAUUCGACUCUGGCAUGUCGGCAUGGAGAAAAAUUGCAGGGAGAUCAGUGAGUGGCUGUUUAAUUUAUCUUCUAUAAAAGGUGUCAGUACUUACAAGAGAGAUGAUCGCUGUCUGUUCCUGUACGUCCAGCAAAACGCAGAUGAUUUUCAACUCUUCUAUCCAUCCUCCAGUCAAAGACAAAGGUUUCACAAUCUGAUCAUGGAUAUGCUAGGCAGCAGUGCAGUCAUUGGAGGUGAGGUGGAUUCUGACCUGAAUGAUGAACCUAUACAGGUCGAGUAUGAAUUGACCGACUCUAAGGAAAGGGUGAUCUUGGGCCGAGGGACGUUUGGUGUGGUGUAUGCGGCCAGAGAUUGCAGGACGCAGGUGACCAUAGCGGUCAAGGAGAUUCCCAUUACUGAUGUUAGAGAAGUGCAGCCCUUACAUGAGGAGAUCUUACUACACUCGAGGCUUAGUCAUAAAAACAUUGUCAAAUAUCUUGGCUCAGAUACAAGUUCAGAAGGGAACACAUUUAAGAUAUACAUGGAACAAGUUCCCGGCGGAAGUCUGUCUGCAUUGCUGAGAUCUAAGUGGGGUCCUCUGAAAGAUCAUGAAGACACUAUAGUUUACUACACAAGGCAAAUUCUGGAGGGCCUUAGAUACUUGCAUGAUCAAAAGAUUGUCCACAGGGACAUCAAAGGUGACAAUGUAUUGGUCAAUACCUACAGCGGAGUGGUCAAGAUCUCAGACUUUGGAACGUCCAAGAGAUUGGCUGGGUUGAAUCCAGCCGCAAGUUCAUUCAAAGGAACCCUACAGUAUAUGGCCCCGGAAGUGAUUGACAAAGGUCUUAGAGGCCAUGGCGCUCCAGCGGACAUCUGGUCAUUGGGUUGUACUAUUGUUGAGAUGGCAACUGGAAAACCCCCUUUCAUUGAGCUGGGUUCACCUCAAGCAGCCAUGUUCAAAGUUGGUUUCUACAAGGAUCAUCCCGAAAUUCCAGCGAGCCUCUCAAACGCAGCCAAGGCAUUUAUCCUCAGGUGUUUUGAGCCUGACCCAGAGAAGAGAGCUACAGCCCAUGAUCUCCUCCAGGAUCCGUUCCUUAUCAAGGGGAGAAAAAUGAGUAAAAAGGGAGCUUCAGGAGCCGAUCACAGGACAGACAGAAGCAUAUCAAUGCCACUGGUCAGUCCGAGUAGCCGUCCAGAGUCUCCCUUGACCAUAGCGUCAACCCUCUCCAAUUUCAGUGAAGCUGAUGCAGUCUCAAGUCUCCGGCUUGACAAGCGAAGAUCACUUGAGCUAUUAUCACCUGGCAGCAGUGAGGAUGGUCUUGAGACUCCUGUAACUCCUGACAAUCGGGAGCAAGGUGGGUUCUACAUGUUGAGGAAGGACAGUGAAAGACGUCAGACGUUACUCACCAUCAUUGAAGGCGAUGGCGAUAAGAUCGUCAAUGAAUGGAUGAAGAAAUUGCAGCUGACUUCUGAGAGACCACCAACCAAAAUUACUACUGCUCACUUGAUGACGUUGAAUCAUGGGAUAGCGGUGUUUAUCAAGCAGAGAGAACGUAGGAAGCUGGUCGAUGCUCUAGAGAAACUCCGGAAUGAUUUAGACUAUGACCCUACAGCUCUUGGUGAAAUUCAUACUGCACUGUAUGUAUUUCAGGACUCGGUAAAUCAAGUGUUACGUCAGCACAUGCACAAUAUAAAACCCCACUGGAUGUUUGCAUUGGAUAACCUAAUAAGAGAUGCUGUACAGGUUACUAUUACCAUCCUCAGCCCAGAUCUUGGAGAGAACAUAGCCCCCAGCAAGGAGGACGAUAUGCCCCCUGCCCACUCUCACGGCAUGGACACCCGCCCCCCUGGCACAUCCAACGGGGACAGCAGGGGCAUCUACGGCACCGCCCACCACUUUCUCCCCCUCCCCAAGGGGGCGGAGGAAGAGGCGGGGAACACUUCGGGGGUGUCGACCUUUGACAGCUCCACCAGGUCCAAUGAGUGCUUCAUACCCAAUCGGAACCUGAUGGCUAGUUUACAGAUGGACCAUCAAAGGCUUGUCCAGGAGCAGGGCAGGUUACUUCAAGAGUUGGUAGACGUCCAGAAAUCUUUAAAUGAUGUCCUUCAAACUCAGCUAUGUGUUAGCAGAUCAGUCAUGGAAAGAAUAGGGUUUCAGCCUCUUGGUGCCAGUGACUCUGUCAACUCAAAUACACAAGAAAGUAGAGGAGGAGUUGGCAGUGAGCAGGAGGAGUUAGUAUCAUGGUUGCAGUCAAUAGCACUUGAUGAAGAUAGUAUUAGAAGGUUUAUUGAAGAGGACUUUACCUUGCCACUGGUUCUCAAUUCAAUGACGAGAGAUGACCUGAGAUCUCUGAAAAUUAGGGUCGGAGCUCAGGUGCGUAUAUGGGAUGCCGUCCAACAACACAGAAUGAACGAGCAGAAGAGAUGAAAUCGACUCUCUUAGACAACACCUUUCUUUUUCUCUCUUUCUUCCUAAAAUUGUCUUUUCUGCUUUUGAGAAGAUCAUCUUGUAUGUAAACAAAACAAAAAUAUAUUUGGUGCAAUUUAGUCUUUCUGACAAGUAUAAAGUUUGCUUGGAUGCUAUUUCAGUGCAUAGAGUUGUGGAUGUAGCAUGUAGAUUUUCACAUAUUUUGAAAUGUUUGGAAAAGAAGAACUAAUCUUUACUCAAACUUUUGUUAGGACAGCCUGUAGCCAUUGUUUUCAAUUAGGGGCUUCGAUUCCUUCUCUUCAUUUGCUGAAUAUUUUUACAAUCAAGAAAAAAAUAGGUUAAAAAAUGGUAAUCAUUCAAAAUUGAUGAGAAUUUCAUCCCAGAAGAACUAUUUUCCUUCCAUAUUUUGUCUUGCUUUUGAAAUACUGGGGGUUCAAUUGACCCCACCCCCCCCCCCCCCCCCCCGCUCCUGGCUACGGGAUUGUAAGGUACCUGUGCAGGUAACACAAAACUAAGUGAUUGAUCCUAUACAUGAUUUGUAUGACAGAUUGCACACAAUGAUCAAUGCAAUCCAUCAUAAACAAUCAGCUAUAGAUCAAACCCUGUGCUUUGUGAUACACGAUCCUGAUGUAGUUGAAAACCCCUCGAAAAGUUUGUGAUCUGAAGAUGAGUUCUAUGUUCUACUUUAGGUGACAAAAACAGGCAAAGAUAAGGGGGAGGGGGACACUUAAUCAAAAUGUCUGAUGAGAAAAAUACCUGGAUACAUUCUCAUACACUCUGAUGAAUAUUUUCAAGGUGACACAUAUUCAUCAGGAUGGGGCCUGGGGAAAAAACUAUAACCCUAGUACAAUUCAAGUUUUUUUUUUUUUUGCUGUUUUCUUCCUAAAUAUGCAGAAUGUUCAAUGUAAAUAUUUAGUUCAUGAAAUUUUAAGAGGGAGUCUAGAAACUAAAAUAAAAUUUGUUUCAUGCAGAAGGUCAGUAAAUGGUCAGCCCUUUUAUUUGACAUUUCAUUCAUUAUACAAAUGGACUGUUUCAGUGUCUCUUUCCUCCCUUUAUUCUUCAAUAUUGUCUUUAUCUGCUGUGUGCUACAUAUAUAGAGUAAUUUGUAUAUUUGACAUUAUGGCAUUAGUUUAUUUAGAUACGUGUAUAUUGAGGUUUAUAGAAAAUGUGUACUUAGACAAAAUAAUAUUGGCAAUAGAUGAAAUCAAAUCAUAGAUAUUAAUUAUAUUCAUGUACCAAUUUUAUUCUAUAUGUGGAGUGCUCCAGGUAUCAAUUGUUAUUUUCAUAAAUGUGUGUACUUUUCGCCAGCCGCAAAACUUGCUGCCUGUUUACCUACGAGAGAUGUUAGAAACUCCAAAGUAUGUAUGGCGCUGUUUAUUUUGUACCAGAAACAUAUACACCAACUGUAAUGCCAUAGCAAUUACAUAUCAAAUCAUUGUGUGUGUUUAUGAAACAGUAGAUGAAAAAUGAUAUAAAACAGUGCCUGUUUCUCUCGGAUUUUUAAAAAAUUCUUGAAGAUCUGGAAAGAAAUCAAGAUAUCUGUGAAAUAAGAAUUGACCUUGCACUUGCUCCGUUCUGGUAUCAUUUCCAAAUUUUGAAUUUGGUAUAGUCUUCUUAUUUUUUUAUUGCAGGUAGCAAUGUAGCUAUUUGAUCUAGUACCAUUCAUUCUCCAGCUAACUUUAGUCACUGCACUACCGCACUGUACAUAUAACUUAUCAACAGUAUCAUUGCCUAUCGCUGAAUGUAGAAUGACUUUAUGUAGAACUACCGUAGACAGUAUUCAGUUUAGAAUGCUUUAUAAUGUACUUAUCCAAACUCCUGAUUGUUUGUUGUGUGUGAUUUUAAUGAUGGAGUGUGUUAUUCAUAUACACAUAGGUGGGAGAGCAUUUCAUGAAAGGACUUGUCAGAUGUUUUAUCAUACAAGUCCUGUUUUAUGCGACAGUUACCGUAGUAACAGUGGUUCUCAGCCAAUCAAAAUGAGGGAAAGUUGUCAGAUGAUAACGUUGAUGAAACCCUCCCCUGAACUCUGGUUUCAUAUCAUUACGCUAAAAUAUCGACAAUUUGGCUUGAAAAUCAAUACCUUGUGUAAGUUAUGUCAAUGUUAUUACUGUUAAAACAAACUAAUCAAAAUACAAUUUUUUUUUUCACUGCAAAUCAAGAGUGAAAAUUUUGUAUGUGAUAAACUUUGUUUCAUAGAAAGCUCUUGUGUAACUUCUUCAGCAUGGAUAAAAAAAAAAUUCUGAAAGUGUUCAUGUGCGCCCCUUUGUAUGACACAAAAUCCUCAGAGUACAUGAAGAUGUGAAAUGACAAAAAAAAAACAUUGUUCCCUUUAUUUUCACUUCAAGUUUUGGCGAUUGACACAUUAUCUAUGCUGUUCAUGAGUCAUGUAGUAUAGAAAGUUUCCUUUGUAUGGUGGUCCAAAAAAUGCAAACUUGUGCCACAUUUUUCAUAGCCUUUACUCUGUUCUCAGUGGAAUUCGGCCUAAUAUUUUGGUUACCUCUUUUUACUUCCCGGUUGAACUCAGUACUUAGACAUGCCAUGUUUCAUUGAAAAGGUGACUUAACAAAAUCAAGAACUACAUGGAUGAAUUCUUUCUUCAUUAUCUGUUCAUUAUGAUGUUUUGUAUGACAUUCUGUUGAAUUUGUAUAUUCAAUCAUUUCUUUCAUAUUGUUAUAACAGUACUUAGUUAAUAAAUAUAUGUCUAUCAUUUUACAUUAACUGCACAAAUAACACUUCGACUAUUAACGACACUUAAUAUAAUUAUAUUCACACAUAUUAUGAUGAAUUUGAGAUAUUAUGCAUGUAUUACAGAUGAUAUAGUAAUGUGUGUGUGUGUGUUCCAUUAAACAUUGCAUGUUUAAGCCUGACAUGUAAUGUGUAAAAUUAGGAUAAAUUCGCAUUUUGAAUCUUGCAGAUACAUUUGUACAUAUUUAUCUGUACCAAUAAUACUACUAUCUCCCACGUUGAUGAAGAUAUUUAUGAUAUUCCAAUAGCAGACUUAGGGAUCCUUCCUCUCUACACUGUUUGGACAAUUAAUAUCAGUAAUUCUCACAACUCAAAAUUAGGAGUUAAAUCUUACUCAACAGCAGGUAUAAAUCUUUGGUUAGUAUGCUCAACAACAUCCAAGUAGUGUUUCAUGAAGGACUUGUUGGAUGUUUUAUCUGUCGUGUCCUGUGUUAUUCGACAGUUACCAUAGAAACAGUGCUCCUUAUCCAAUCAGAGUAAAGGAAAGUUGUCAGAUCUGACAACUUAUUUCCCCAGAAGUCUCAGGUUGUGACUAAAUUGGAAGUACUGACAUGUCUGUUAACUGUUUCAUUAAGCUUUCUCCACCCAUAUCAAGGAAAACAAACCUGGUACUAUUUAAUUGAAAAAACAUACAAUAGGGUCACUCUGACAUUGUGUUAAUUGCUACAUGUACCUUGGUAGUUGGGCUUUAGCACCCAAUCAAAAAUAAAGAUUUCCAUGGAAGUUAUCAUAAUUGCAAAGCUACCUCUGGUCAUAUAGUUGGAAUACCUGUAGAGAAACUGUCCCACACAUGGGGUCUUUUUCAUGAAACUUGUUAUAAUUAAUUUCCAAUAACUAUUUUGAGCUACUGAAAUCAUUCAAUUUGAUUGGUUGAUGGUGCACUUCAAAUGGAAAUUGUGUAUAUGUUGUAACAAGUCUUUAUGAAAUGGGACUGUGAUUAAUAAACAUCUGUAAAACACAAUCACACACACAGUUCAACAAAAUCAUACACUGCAAGUGAUGGGUUCAGUCUGGCUUUAACACAGGGAUGGCACCAUGCUCCCCCUUACAAUAUAAAAAAUUGAGAAUUAUGAAGGGAAAAUUAAGGAAAGACUAAAGUAUAUUUAAAAGUGUGUGCUGAGUAGUGUAACUAUAUACUUCCCCUAUUUUGUACUUAAAAAAAAAAAAAAAUCUAAAAAAUUUAAGUCACUGUUAGGUCCCCCCAGAAUAGCCCGGGGCACCCUGCUUUUGUUAGUAUUGACUACCGUGAUUUAUCUUCUGUGGAAUGAAAUAAGAGAAAAGGAUAUUGUGGCAUCACAAAUUCUUAAUAAAUUAUAUGAUUAUAGCCGACUUAACAAUAUUAUAUAGAAUUUAUAGGUGUUUUUUGUGUAGAUAUUCUUGUAAAUAUAGUUCAAAUGCUUGCCAAAUAUUUGUUUUGUAACAUAUGAUAAAAAGAAAACAGGACAGUCUUGUAAAUAAGUUCCAUGGAUUUUUCCUUGCAGGUGCGUUAAUAUGAAAACAAGAGUUAACAUUUAUUAUUUUAUCAUUGGGUGAUUGCAUGAAUACCUUAAUCCCAAGUGUUGUAAGAUAUGUUUUAUUUUAUCCAUUUUGUGUACUUUCAAAAGU